AGAGUUUGAUCCUGGCUCAGGAUGAACGCUGGCGGCGUGCUUAACACAUGCAAGUCGAGCGAAGCACCUUGGAACGAUUCUUCGGAUGAGUGAAAAGGUGACUGAGCGGCGGACGGGUGAGUAACGCGUGGGUAACCUGCCUCACACAGGGGGAUAACAGUUAGAAAUGACUGCUAAUACCGCAUAAGACCACAGCACCGCAUGGUGCAGGGGUAAAAACUCCGGUGGUGUGAGAUGGACCCGCGUCUGAUUAGCUAGUUGGUGAGGUAACGGCUCACCAAGGCGACGAUCAGUAGCCGACCUGAGAGGGUGACCGGCCACAUUGGGACUGAGACACGGCCCAAACUCCUACGGGAGGCAGCAGUGGGGAAUAUUGCACAAUGGGCGAAAGCCUGAUGCAGCGACGCCGCGUGAAGGAUGAAGUAUUUCGGUAUGUAAACUUCUAUCAGCAGGGAAGAAAAUGACGGUACCUGACUAAGAAGCCCCGGCUAACUACGUGCCAGCAGCCGCGGUAAUACGUAGGGGGCAAGCGUUAUCCGGAUUUACUGGGUGUAAAGGGAGCGUAGACGGCGAUGCAAGUCUGAAGUGAAAGGCAUGGGCUCAACCUGUGGACUGCUUUGGAAACUGUGUUGCUAGAAUGUCGGAGAGGCAAGGGGAAUUCCUAGUGUAGCGGUGAAAUGCGUAGAUAUUAGGAGGAACACCAGUGGCGAAGGCGCCUUGCUGGACGAUGAUUGACGUUGAGGCUCGAAAGCGUGGGGAGCAAACAGGAUUAGAUACCCUGGUAGUCCACGCCGUAAACG
rnacentral:rRNA from 1 species